rnacentral:lncRNA from 1 species
CGCGCCGCAGCGCACCUGACGCUUGGAUCGUGAGCAGGGAUGCCUACACGGAUAGAGCAGCUCUCCAGGGCCAAACCAAACCUUCUCAAGUUCCCUGACAGGCGCUCAGUAUACUGGCUUGAUGAACUACCAACCAGGUCAAAGAGCACCACUACUGCCUUUGAACUGACUCCUCGCUUGGAGCAGCUCGCCCAGGGCAAAGAAUCAAGCCGUUUCAUUGAGGAGAGCAGGUGACUAAUGUGAUUUCCAUUCAAACUACUUACUUAUUAAAG